UGCUGGUCUGAGUGCAGUGGUGUUUACAACUAACUGAUCACAGCCAGUUACAGAUUCCUUUGUUGCUUCUCUAUUCCCACUGCCUCACUUGACUUAGCCUAAA
ensembl:misc_RNA Y_RNA Y RNA